ACUACGGGAGGCUGCAGUGGGGAAUAUUGCACAAUGGGGGAAACCCUGAUGCAGCGACGCCGCGUGAGUGAAGAAGUAUUUCGGUAUGUAAAGCUCUAUCAGCAGGGAAGAAGCAAGACGGUACCUGACUAAGAAGCCCCGGCUAACUACGUGCCAGCAGCCGCGGUAAUACGGAGGGGGCAAGCGUUAUCCGGAGUUACGGGGUGUAAAGGGAGCGUAGACGGUUUGGGAAGUCUGAAGUGAAAUCCCAGGGCUUAACCCUUGGACUGAUUUGGAAACUGUUAGACUAGAGUGCUGGAGAGGUAAGUGGAAUUCGUGGUGUAGCGGUGAAAUGCGUAGAUAUUAGGAGGAACACCGGUGGCGAAGGCAGCUUACUGGACAGUAACUGACGUUGAGGCUCGAAAGUGUGGGGAUCAAACAGGAUUAGAUACCCCAGUAGUC
rnacentral:rRNA from 1 species